rnacentral:rRNA from 1 species
UACGUAGGGGGCAAGCGUUGUCCGGAAUCAUUGGGCGUAAAGCGCGUGUAGGCGGCUUGGUAAGUCCGCUCCGAAAGCCCGGGGCUCAACCCCGGGAGGCGGGUGGAUACUGUCAAGCUCGAGCCCGGAAGAGGCGAGUGGGAUUCCUGGUGUAGCGGUGAAAUGCGCAGAUAUCUGGAGGAACACCGGUGGCGAAGGCGGCAUCCUGGACCAAUACUGACGCUGAGGAGCGAAAGCCAGGGGAGCAAACGGG